rnacentral:snRNA from 1 species
GGAGGGCCAUCAGGCUGAGCACAUUCCUCCUUGGGGAUCACCAAGGCUGAUGUGGCUGCUGGCUGGCUAGGCGAGUGUCCCCUUCCUGUUCCGGCACUCCACAGGCAUCCUGCUUGCCACUGUACGCUGGUCAACCGUCCCAGAGAGAAGGAAGAUCGUUCUUUGACUAACGGCUUACAAGUAGCUGCAUCGCCCAGCUAGAACCUCCAAAUGAUCUCUCAGAAGCAUCCUCAGGAGGAGCUGCAGAGAGGAGAGAGGGAGCAGCCCUCAGGGGGCUGUGCUGGGACCU